AUUCCAGCUCCAAUAGCGUAUAUUAAAGUUGUUGCAGUUAAAAAGCUCGUAGUUGGAUUUCUGGCCUGACGAAACUGACCCGCCGCGGUUACGUGUGUGAGUGUCGGGCUUCGUCUGCCAUCCUUCCAGAAAACGUUUCUACCCUUCACUGGGCUGGAUUCGCGAUCUGGAACUUUUACUUUGAAGAAAUUAGAGUGUUCAAAGCAGGCUUGCGCUGUGAAUACAUUAGCAUGGAAUAAUAAUUUAGGACUCAGGUCUUAUUUUGUUGGUUCUUAAGAUCUAAGUAAUGAUUGAUAGGGAUAGUUGGGGGUGCUAGUAUUCAGCGGCCAGAGGUGAAAUUCUUGGAUUCGCUGAAGACUAACUUAUGCGAAAGCAUUCACCAAGGAUGUCUUCAUCA
rnacentral:rRNA from 1 species